UAAAGAUUUCACAUCAAGAUAAAUUUUCUAUAGAAAUAUUAAGACUCACAGGCACAUCACUUUCUACCAUCAACAAGCCAUGAAAAUGAAAUAAUCCAUGAUGAAAUACCAAAUUUGUAUUAAUCUGCUUUUUCCUUGUAAUCAGCUUAGAGAAAACUCACAUGACUUCUUGAACUCUCUGUAUUAAUCAAUUAAAGAAAAUUUCACUACUGUAAGUAUACCUGUAUUUCUCACAUAUACAGUUUGGCAGGGAAAUUCAGGAAUCCAUGGCUGUAUCCUAAACUCUUCUCAAAGACUAUAGUCCUAUAAAUAGUAUCCUUAUGACAUAGGACCUCCUGGCCUGUUCCUAGUAAGAUAGAUAGAAAGCCAAUUAAAUCAGGCCAUUGAACUUCAGUUAAUAUAAGUUGGAAUCAUGAUGAAUUGUUUUUUAAAUGAUCCUGAAACUCUGUACCAGAUCAUUAUAAUGUAUAAAAGUCCCUGCUUAACUUACAUCCUGGUAAGAUUGCUAUUUGCAAUAAAGUGAAAAAUAAAUCAGAAAAAAUAUUUAUUAAGAAAGGUGUUAUGUAUUUGAUAAUUUUAAUGAAAUAUACAUUUCUAUACAUCUUUUUUAUUUUUGCUUCAAUCUUUUCGGGAAAAUUAACAAACUUAACAGUAACAUAUAUGUUAUACAACUAGCGCUUAGCUAGCUAAGAGUAUUAAUUAGCUAGAAGUGUGGUAUAAAUUUGACUUGUUGUCUAAUGACACCCCAUUUUAUGUGAGGUAGUGACUUGUUUGGGUAUAUAUUUGCCUUAUGAGGUAUGAUAGGUAUUGGGUUUAGCGUGUGUGGGAUCAGGGGCUUUGUCUAGUGUGUUAUCAAACAAUAUGCUCAUUAUACAAUUCUCACAUAUACUGAUCAGGUAUGCUUCACGUAUACAGUAUCAUGAUGCUCAUCAAAUACAUGUGUCACUUCACAUUUUAUGCUAUUUCAAAUGAUUUGCAUUUGGAUGUGUCAGCAUUUAUGAUUUUAUGUGCAAACGCGGUGUUUUUGUAGCUUUAAUUACAGAUGAUUUUUGCCAUUUUUUUUCUUAGUUACAUUUUUGAAUACUAGUUAAGUAUAAAUUCAAUGGAGAAUUCUGAAUUGUGUUGUACAAGUCAUUCAGUUUAUAUAUAAGGGUUUUAUAAUUACCACUUUAUAAUGCUUCAGUGAAAUAUCCAGGUAAGCGAUGUAGGCCCCAUGGGCCUCUUGUAUAAUGCUUUGUUGGUGUCUUUGUAUAAACUACAGCAAAACAUGGCCAUACAACUGCCUUACAACACAAACCUUAUAACUUACCAAUUUCAGUGUUAUAAAACUACAGUCAGUUAAUUCAUCACCACUUUUCACAAGUUUGUGGAAUGCUUUUCCUUUUGUAUUAAUGGCAAUGUGAUCGAUUUGCUUGUGAUCAUGGUCUUUGUUAUUAUAAUUUUUAAAGAAAAAAAAACAACAGGUUGCUUGGUUAUAUUAAGAGAAUUAGCAUGUUAUUUACACUUUUGAAUGCCAAACUGUCAAUGUCUGGUAUUUUAACAGUACUAGUACAGACACUGGGUAGAUCUUAGUAAGCGGAGACUGGAAAUUAAAGUUUGGACUUGGCAGCUAUAGUGUUAGUGGCUAAAUUUUGUGCUAAAUGCUAGCUACAGAACUAGUUAUUUCCAAAAUAGCAAGCUAAAUACCGGUUUUUAUCAAUGGUAGUUUACUUUUUGACAGUCCAGCUUUAUUUAGUUGUAAGGCUGAUGUAAUUCGUUAAUCUGUUUUUGAAUCUGUUUGUAAGAACAACAUGGAUAUCAGUUUAAAUAGUUUCCAAUAUGUUUUUUUAUGUUGCUGCUGUGGUAAUGCAAAUUUUUGUGUUAUAUUUUGUGUGUGCAGAGAAUUUGCUUUGUUAGUAGUACAGUGCUUUAAUGAUGAAAAGAGGUAAAUAAAUACAUAUAUUAGGUGUUCUAGUGAAGAAUUUUUUUUUUUUUUAAUUAAUAUUGAAGAAAAUUAGAUUCUUUGUUGAGAUCCAGUACAUAUAGUAUUUAUAAAAGAUAGUUUUGUCCCUAUAACGUGUGAAUUAGCAUCAACUAGAUAACUUUGUUUUUAAAGACAGUAGAUAAACAUAUUCACUUUACAAUUAACAAAAGAAAAGUAAAUACAUAUUUUAUAUUUGGUGACAGUUCUAGUUGCUCUGAAAAAUUUAACCUUAAAAGGACAAACUGCCCUAUUACGAUUUAGAACUGUGAUAUGUAUAUAUUUAUUUUUCAUUUUGGUGCGAAAUAUUCUUCUACUCACUCCAUGGCUCAUCGACUGUUAGGUGAUCAGAAUAGGGAAAAGGGCCUAUAGUGUAUACUAGGCAUGUGUAUAGCGUGUGAGAUAGAGAUAUACAUUGCUUAACAUAACAUUUAAUGGUGUACAGGUGAGAAAAAGUAAGUGUGUAGACAGGUGAGUGAAGUACAGGUGUACAGACAGGUGAGUGAGGUACAGGUGUACAGACAGGUGAGUAAGGUACAUGUGUACAGGACAGGUGAGUGAGGUACAGGUGUACAGGACAGGUGAGUGAGGUACAGGUGUACAGGACAGGUGAAUGAGAUACAGGUGUACAGACAGGUGAGUGAGGUACAGGUGUACAGACAGGUGAGUGAGGUACAGGUGUGUACAGGACAGGUGAGUGAGGUACAGGUGUACAGGACAGGUGAAUGAGGUACAGGUGUACAGACAGGUGAGUGAGGUACAGGUGUACAGACAGGUGAGUGAGGUACAGGUGUACAGGACAGGUGAGUGAGGUACAGGUGUACAGGACAGGUGAGUGAGGUACAGGUGUGUACAGGACAGGUGAGUGAGGUACAGGUGUACAGACAGUUGUGUGAGGUACAGGUGUACAGGACAGGUGAGUGAGGUACAGGUGUACAGGACAGGUGAGUGAGGUACAGGUGUACAGGACAGGUGAGUAUGUACAGGACAGGUGAGUGAGGUACAGGUGUACAGGACAGGUGAGCAAGGUCUUACAGACAGGUUUGAUAACCAGGUGAAAUACUUACGAUUACAAGUGAGUGAGGAGGAACACUUGCCGCUUUACAUUUUAGUGUGUUUUUGUGUAACAGCACACAAUCAUGAAAUAAAAUUUACCAUCCCAA